rnacentral:rRNA from 1 species
UUUAGAGUUUGAUCCAUGGCUCAGAGCGAACGCUGGCGGCGUGCCUAACACAUGCAAGUCGAACGCUGACUUCGUUGUCGCAAGACAGCGGAGAAGGCGUGGCGAACGGGUGAGUAACGCGUGGACAACCUGCCCGCAAGUGGGGGAUAACUCCGGGAAACUGGAGCUAAUACCGCAUAACAUCCCUUGGUCGCAGGACCGAGGGAUCAAACCCGCAAGGGGCUGGCGGAGGGGUCCGCGUCCGAUCAGCUAGUUGGUGAGGUCAUGGCUCACCAAGGCAGAGACCGGUAGCCGAUCUGAGAGGGUGAUCGGCCACACUGGGACUGAGACACGGCCCAGACUCCUACGGGAGGCAGCAGUGGGGGAUGUUGCGCAAUGGGGGAAACCCUGACGCAGCGACGCCGCGUGGAGGACGAAGCCCUUCGGGGUGUAAACUCCUUUCGACGGGGACGAACGCCCGCAAGGGCCCGACAGACCCUAGAAGAGCCCCGCAA